rnacentral:rRNA from 1 species
UGGGGAAUAUUGGACAAUGGGCGCAAGCCUGAUCCAGCAAUGCCGCGUGUGUGAAGAAGGCCUUCGGGUUGUAAAGCACUUUUAUCAGGAGCGAAACGCUGUCGGCUAAUACCCGGCGGAACUGACGGUACCUGAGGAAUAAGCACCGGCUAACUUCGUGCCAGCAGCCGCGGUAAUACGAAGGGUGCAAGCGUUAAUCGGAAUUACUGGGCGUAAAGCGUGCGUAGGCGGUUUCUUAAGUCUGCUGUGAAAUCCCCGGGCUCAACCUGGGAAUGGCAGUGGAUACUGGGAGGCUAGAGUGUGUCAGAGGGUGGUGGAAUUCCCGGUGUAGCGGUGAAAUGCGUAGAGAUCGGGAGGAACAUCAGUGGCGAAGGCGGCCACCUGGGACAACACUGACGCUGAGGCACGAAAGCGUGGGGAGCAAACAGGAUUAGAUACCCUGGUAGUCCACGCCCUAAAGCGAUGCGAACUGGAUGUUGGUCUCAACUCGGAGAUCAGUGUCGAAGCUAACGCGUUAAGUUCGCCGCCUGGGGGAGUACGGUCGCAAGACUGAAACUCAAAUGAAUUGACGGGGUCAUAGCUGUUUCCU